rnacentral:lncRNA from 10 species
UUAAAUCAUCCAUUUAAAGAUGUCAAACAACCUCCGUGUUCUAAGGACACAGCAUGUACAACCUCACAUAGAGUUCCUGACCAGACAAGACUUGCUGGAAAUUUCCCAGGAUCUUCCUUCCUUAAGUUUGAAUAGCUCUCUGGUUCCAGUUUGAAGCUGAAAAGGUUAAAUUCUACCUGAAGGAUGAAAACAACCAACAUUCUGUGCCAAGACAGUCAGGAGGGCAACCAUGUUUCCUGGUGGAGCCUCUGGAACCACUCAAGCCAAGAUGACCGGGGGUUUGGCUGGGAGGAGAUGGGGAAACUACAGACCCUACAGAUGGUUUCCUGUACCAUGAGGUUAAGCCUGGGGGCAGGAGAGGCUGUACCUUAGUUCCUUCAUCUGUAAAAUAAAGUAACAUAGUACCU